UGGGGAAUAUUGGGCAAUGGAGGCAACUCUGACCCAGCCAUGCCGCGUGGGUGACGAAGGUCUUCGGAUUGUAAAGCCCUUUCGGCGGGGACGAUGAUGACGGUACCCGCAGAAGAAGCCCCGGCUAACUUCGUGCCAGCAGCCGCGGUAAUACGAAGGGGGCUAGCGUUGUUCGGAAUUACUGGGCGUAAAGGGCGUGUAGGCGGCCUGUUAAGACAGGUGUGAAAUUCCUGGGCUCAACCCAGGACGUGCGCCUGUGACUGGCGGGCUUGAGUCCGGGGAGAGGAUGGUGGAACUCCCGAGUGUAGAGGUGAAAUUCGUAGAUAUUGGGAAGAACACCCGUGGCGAAGGCGGCCAUCUGGAUCGGUACUGACGCUAAGGCGCGACAGCGUGGGGAGCAAA
rnacentral:rRNA from 1 species